GUCUGCACGAAAGCUCAAAGAAAUACGAGGGGGGGGGGAUAAAUACCCCUCCCGAUACAAAAAUAACAUAAUCUUUUUUUUUCAUAUAUUGACUAAUGUUAAGAGAUUGUUGUUUGUAUAAAACGUGCAUAGUGAUCAAGGAAGCGGUCCCUGAAGGGGUAAAAUGGGAACUGGGAUUAAUCUAUUUUUAGACUGGGAAAAUGGGAUUUGGGUUGCUGGGACUGGGAUUUGGCCACUGGGAAUGGGAAAUAAAGUCCUCAAAAAUGGGAAUGGGAUUGAGGUAAUGCGAG